rnacentral:rRNA from 1 species
UACGGAGGGUGCAAGCGUUGCUCGGAAUUAUUGGGCGUAAAGGGUAGGUAGGUGGUCUUAUUUGUCUGGGGUGAAAGCCUUGAGCUUAACUCGAGAAGUGCCCCAGAAACGGUGAGACUAGAGUCCUGGAGAGGGUCGUGGAAUUCCCGGUGUAGCGGUGAAAUGCGUAGAGAUCGGGAGGAACACCAGAGGCGAAGGCGGCGACCUGGACAGGCACUGACACUCAACUACGAAAGCGUGGGGAGCAAACAGG